CGAACAACAGCGAAUAUAAUAUUUGCCAAAGAUCAAGCAUGUAAAUUUUUUACUUACAUACUCCAGCCCACCCAAAGCUGGGAAAUUCCAAAGAAUCAUUGACAGGUCUGCCAGAAAAUAGCCAACAGAGAUCCCUAAUACAGAGUUUGAUACAAUUGACUUUCUAUUAAUGAUUAACUCAUCCUGAGAAUCCUCAUAAAAAAGACCUGAUAACAGCAGGAGGUAGAAAGAAGCUGAUGCUACAAUAAGAGCAUGAAAUGUAGAGAACCCCCGGUUGUUCCAUUCAAUUUUUUC
rnacentral:misc_RNA from 1 species